AGGCUUGUACAGGUGCUGCAUGGCUGUCGUCAGCUCGUGUCGUGAGAUGUUCGGUUAAGUCCGCUAACGAGCGCAACCCUCGCUGUGUGUUACAAGUGUCACACGGAACUGCCGGUCAUAAACCGGAGGAAGGUGGGGAUGACGUCAAGUCAGCAUGGCCUUUAUAUCCUGGGCUACACACACGCUACAAUGGGAAGGGACAAUAGGUUGCGAAGCCGCGAGGCGGAGCCAAUCCAGCAAAACUUCCCUCAGUUCAGAUUGCAGGCUGCAACUCGCCUGCAUGAAGUUGGAGUUGCUAGUAAACGCAGGUCAGCCAUACUGCGUUGAAUACGUUCCCGGGGCUU
rnacentral:rRNA from 1 species